ensembl:lncRNA
GCUCCUUACAGUCACUCAGUGUCACAGGUGGGCUCCACCGUGGCCCCGAGGCUCCCUCCUCGUGGUGUCUGCGCCCCGCAUAGUGGACCUGCUCACCCGAAGUGACAGUCAUCUCCUUGGUUGGGCUGCAUCCGAUGAUAAUAGCAGUAGGAUAUUUACUCUGGUGACCAUAAACCCCACUGCUGCCACUGGCCUUCCCCAACUGGAGGAAGAUUCUCCUUGGGCUUAGAACACACAAGCCGGCACCCUGUGGCUGUGCCGUUGGCUGGGCCCCGAGGCUGGGCUGUACGAGCUGAAGGUGAUCCCCAGCCAGUGAGAAGACCGGGACCUCAUUCGUGCACAUGCAAGGCUCUGAACUUUGCCGCCACCUGAAUGAGCUUAAAAAGGACUUCAAGCCUCAGGUGCGGUCCCAGCCUGACCAACACCUUCAUUGCAGCCCACUGGGAGCCUGAGCAGAAGACACAGCAAUUGUAUCUGCUGAACAAAGGAAACUGCAAUCAUAAAUGUAUGCUCUUUUAAGCUGCUGUUCAUAAUUUUUUAUACAGCAAUAUGUAACUGACACAGUAUUCAUGCUUCUGUGGGGCCUUGACCUUGAAACUAGAGAAAGACAGGCUGGUUUUAAGACCUUUCUUGUAAGUUGGGUAACUGGAUCCUGAUGUUGAUUACUUACUUGUACACAACACCCUGUCCAUGAGAUAUGCUCUGCCAGAUUCUGAAUAUUCUCCCUCCCCCUCUCCCUUCCUCUAUCCAGGGUCUCACUAAGGCCCUAAGUUGCCCAGCCUCACCUCUCAAACUUGUGAUCCUCCUGCCUCAGCCUCCCAGAGCAUCAUCUGUGUUGAGUGAAGUCCUAUUAGGUAUCUGUGGGCCUUUUUCCUGUCGAUCAACAAGGGCUGAGUAGUUAAUGCUGAUAGACUCCUUCCUGCCAUGUUUUCUGUCUGCACACAGCAUUGCUGCUGCUACUGUGCAGUGGCUUCCCUUCUCUGGAGCCGGUUCCUGCUGCGAUCACAGCACAGCGUGCUAAGCCUGCUGGACUGAACUCCUUCAACUCCCCGCCCCAGUCUCCUUCACCAACACCAGCUGGAUUUGUCUCCUCAGCAGUCCUCUAGUAACAGUUACCUCAUCCAGUGUCCUGGAGUUGAGCUCAAUGUCCUAGAACUGAUACAGUAGGGUCCUCAAGUAAUACAGAAUAAUUAUUAAUAACUAAAUCAGUCAAAGACCAUUUUGAUACAAUGUAUAAUGCUAAUUUGUCUUUAUUUAGAAAAUAUUAGAAACUGUUUUAAGAUGUUAAACUGCUGUAAAAAUGUGUUGUCUCCAGAUCUUAGCAAUUUAUUUAUUGAAUGAAAAUGCACUCUUGUGUGCCAUGGCACAUGCCUGUAAUCCCAGGUACUCAAUAGGCUGAGGCAGGAGGAUUGCAAGUUCAAGGUCACCCUGUCUCAAAAGUGAAAAAGCCAAAAGGGCUGGAGAUGUCGCUCGGUGUUAGAAUGUAUCAGUGUUUGAUCCCAGUACCACAAAAUACAUUUUUGAAAAGGCAGAUAUUUUCCAAAUUUUAGAAUAAUUAAAAUAUAAAAGGCAAAAAAUAGUUGCAAAGAACAGUAAGAGUGACUUUCUGAUGCUUUGCCAAAGUCGAACUGGCUCUUGCAGCAAACGGCAUGUGAUGGAGAGACAUUCAGGUGGGCAGCAGAGCUGCCGCCGACUUCCUGCCAGCUGCCCACCUGCAGCCCAGGGUCCUGCUGCAGGCCGUCAGGGGAGCCAACACCACUGCAGGUCCGGCUGAGGCGUGAAAUGGCACAGCUAUUUCAGACACUGAAGCAUAACGUUUCCUAUUUUUCCCUUCAAAAUGUGAUCACAAAGGAAGGGAAUGAAGGGAGAGUUUCCCCACUAAUGAGGAGGCUGCUGGUUUUCCAGAGCUGCCUGGGAGUCACUGAGCACCCCAUUUGGUGCAAGCGGGGAGUG